rnacentral:rRNA from 1 species
GACGAACCGUGCGAACGUUGUUCGGAAUCACUGGGCUUAAAGGGCGCGUAGGCGGGCUUUCAAGUCUGCGGUGAAAUCCUCCGGCUCAACCGGAGAAGUGCCGUGGAUACUGGGAGCCUCGAGGAGGGUAGGGGCGUCUGGAACUUCCGGUGGAGCGGUGAAAUGCGUUGAGAUCGGAAGGAACGCCCGUGGCGAAAGCGAGGUCCUGGACGUCUACUGACGCUGAGACGCGAAAGCUAGGGGAGCAAACGGG